rnacentral:misc_RNA from 1 species
UCCGUGUUAACCACGGCAGUCUCUUUAGAGAGCCCAACUGAAUGCUGGCAACUAAAGACAAGGGUUGCGCUCGUUGCGGGACUUAACCCAACAUGUCACCACACGAGCUGACGACAGCCAUGCAGCACCUGUCACUCGGCAGUAUUGCUACUGAAACUGUAUCUCUACAGCGGUCCGAGGAUGUCAAACCCAGGUAAGGUUUUUCGCGUUGCUUCGAAUUAAACCACAUGAUCCACCGCUUGUGCGGGCCCCCGUCAAUUCCUUUGAGUUUUAGUCUUGCGACCGUACUUCCCAGGCGGGGUACUUAUUGCGUUAGCUGCGGCUCGGCAGGGGUCAAGACCCACCAAGCCUAGUACCCAUCGUUUACGGCGUGGACUAC